AGAGUUUGAUCAUGGCUCAGGACGAACGCUGGCGGCGUGCCUAAUACAUGCAAGUAGAACGCUGAAGAGAGGAGCUUGCUCUUCUUGGAUGAGUUGCGAACGGGUGAGUAACGCGUAGGUAACCUGCCUUGUAGCGGGGGAUAACUAUUGGAAACGAUAGCUAAUACCGCAUAACAAUGGAUGACACAUGUCAUUUAUUUGAAAGGGGCAAUUGUUCCACUACAAGAUGGACCUGCGUUGUAUUAGCUAGUAGGUGAGGUAAUGGCUCACCUAGGCGACGAUACAUAGCCGACCUGAGAGGGUGAUCGGCCACACUGGGACUGAGACACGGCCCAGACUCCUACGGGAGGCAGCAGUAGGGAAUCUUCGGCAAUGGGGGCAACCCUGACCGAGCAACGCCGCGUGAGUGAAGAAGGUUUUCGGAUCGUAAAGCUCUGUUGUAAGUCAAGAACGGGUGUGAGAGUGGAAAGUUCACACUGUGACGGUAGCUUACCAGAAAGGGACGGCUAACUACGUGCCAGCAGCCGCGGUAAUACGUAGGUCCCGAGCGUUGUCCGGAUUUAUUGGGCGUAAAGCGAGCGCAGGCGGUUUGAUAAGUCUGAAGUUAAAGGCUGUGGCUCAACCAUAGUUCGCUUUGGAAACUGUCAAACUUGAGUGCAGAAGGGGAGAGUGGAAUUCCAUGUGUAGCGGUGAAAUGCGUAGAUAUAUGGAGGAACACCGGUGGCGAAAGCGGCUCUCUGGUCUGUAACUGACGCUGAGGCUCGAAAGCGUGGGGAGCGAACAGGAUUAGAUACCCUGGUAGUCCACGCCGUAAACGAUGAGUGCUAGGUGUUGGAUCCUUUCCGGGAUUCAGUGCCGCAGCUAACGCAUUAAGCACUCCGCCUGGGGAGUACGACCGCAAGGUUGAAACUCAAAGGAAUUGACGGGGGCCCGCACAAGCGGUGGAGCAUGUGGUUUAAUUCGAAGCAACGCGAAGAACCUUACCAGGUCUUGACAUCCCGAUGCUAUUUCUAGAGAUAGAAAGUUACUUCGGUACAUCGGUUACAGGUGGUGCAUGGUUGUCGUCAGCUCGUGUCGUGAGAUGUUGGGUUAAGUCCCGCAACGAGCGCAACCCCUAUUGUUAGUUGCCAUCAUUCAGUUGGGCACUCUAGCGAGACUGCCGGUAAUAAACCGGAGGAAGGUGGGGAUGACGUCAAAUCAUCAUGCCCCUUAUGACCUGGGCUACACACGUGCUACAAUGGUUGGUACAACGAGUUGCGAGUCGGUGACGGCGAGCUAAUCUCUUAAAGCCAAUCUCAGUUCGGAUUGUAGGCUGCAACUCGCCUACAUGAAGUCGGAAUCGCUAGUAAUCGCGGAUCAGCACGCCGCGGUGAAUACGUUCCCGGGCCUUGUACACACCGCCCGUCACACCACGAGAGUUUGUAACACCCGAAGUCGGUGAGGUAACCUUUUGGAGCCAGCCGCCUAAGGUGGGACAGAUGAUUGGGGUGAAGUCGUAACAAGGUA
rnacentral:rRNA from 1 species